AUAUAGACAGUGAUGAGGAGUAGUACCGAUUAGAACCUGUGUAGAGAGUUGACGGAUGGUGCAAGUCAACCAGGAGUGAUCGCGAACUCGCCUUUUGAGUUUCAGGCAUGAAGGAUUAGUAAUGCCUGACGUUCAUCCACGUUACGGAUUUGGAGCGGGGCGAUGGUUACAAGUCGCCAAUUUGGGUGGUACCGCGGGUCGAUUAGAUACAUAAUCCUCUCGUCCCUUUU
rnacentral:ncRNA from 1 species